CGGGGGGCAGAUGGGAGGCCUAGCCUAGCCCCAGCCGAGACCCCCAGGGGCCCUGCUCUGGCCGCUCCUCCCACCCCGCUGUCCCCUAGACCCCCUUCCCGCUCACCCUGAAGCUGUGGGAUAUACUCGAUGGGGAGAGGGUGCUCACGGCCAUGGCCUACACCAACCUCAAGGUGCACAGGAGUAAGUGAGCCCCUGGGAGCCCAGGGAUGUGUGGGGGGGUAGCAGGGGCGGUGACCCUGUGCUCUGAGCAGCACCCAGACCUGGGGCAGGGGGACUGUGGGGCAGGCGGGUGCAGCGGGGCUCCCUGAGAGGAGCAGUGGUCAGGGGCCACCCCGGCCAGCGCACUGCCCACGGCGCUCCUGGGCACAGCGGGACCCCAGCCGCUGGCCUGGGGGCACCGGGGGCCACAGGGCGGGGCCCUCUGGGUCUGACUCUCGCCCACCACCCAGAGCGCCUCCUGAAGCUGCCCCUGGAAGUGCUCCGGGAGUUCCUCCCUGACACUCUGGCGCAGCCCUGGGCCCUGGAGGACAAGGCGGUGCUCAGACACCUUCGGGCCUCCAUGACCCAGCUCCGGAGGAUGCGGUGCGACCUGCCCCCCACCCAGGUGGGCUCAGGGCCCUGGCCCCUCCCGACUCGGCCUGCUGGGGCCACCCACAGGGGACAGAGCUCCCGGGGCCCCCAUCCUCAUCUCUGGGGCUCUCCUCUUCUGCUCCAGCCUCAGGGACCCCAGGCCAGGGCUGGGCGUGCAGGCACCCACUGCAGGGCCCAGGCACCAGUGUGGGGGGCUGAGCACAGGGUCAGGCCGGGGACCACGCGGGAGCCGUGAGGACCCCCGGGGCCCCCAGUGGGGGACACACAGCCUGCUGGAGACGCUGACCCCGUCGGCCUCUUUCCAGCGGGACCUGAGGAGUUCCCCACGAGGCCCCUGGGCAUGGAGCGAGUGUCCCCGGCGCCCAGGCCUCUCCUCCCUUCUCCAGGCCUCUGAGCCACCGCCCAGGGUGGAGGAGCCGGCCUCCCUGGGCCCAGCCACCCAGCCUGAGCUGCCCAGACCCCCUCCCGGCCAGGCCAUCGUCCAACUUCCCCCCAGCGAUGGAACUCCCUCCCCAUCCUCCCAGUGCAACAAGACGGUGCAGGCAGGUGGCCCCCAGACAUGGUGGGCUUGAAGACAAAAAAUGGGGUCCCCUUCCCUUCGGCACCUGCCUGGGCCACCCGAGAGGCCCCGUGAUGGACCAGGCCCUGGAGCACUCCCGGGACUCCCAUGACGGGGUCCCCCCAGCCCCCAAGGGACGAUGCUGUCGGACCCAGGACACCCUUCCUGCCCCGCAGCCAUUGCAGCUCGUGCUCCUCGCUGGGCAGUGACAGGCACAGCCAGGGCAGAGCCAGGGUGGCGCUGAGCCCACUGUCCCGAGGCCCCGCACAGGCCCGGGACACUCUGCCCUCCGCGUCCACAAUGCAGCUCGAUGCUCGCGGGCCUCUGGGGCAGAGCGUGGCGGGGCGGCCAGACGCCAGGGUCAGGACCCCACAGACUCUACUGCGACUCAGCCUCUGCCCGCGGCCAGGACGGGCCUGGGACAGAGUGACAGCUGGGGAGCCUCAGGUUACCAGGGUCUGUGCUAAGCGCCCUGAGAGGUCUGUGCUCCCACUGUCCAGGGGGCCUGGGCUGCCCGGGCUCCGGGGCCCUUCAUCCCCUCCCCGCCCCAGGCCUGUACACCUGGGGCACAGAGGGCCCGCGGGGCGGUCAGCGUGGCCCCAGAGGGGACGUCAGGACAGCAGGCCCUUGCAGCUCACACACCUGGGCCACCCUCACCAGGCGGGCUCAGCGUGCACACCUGGUGCUGCUGGAUCUCUCGCACCAGAGUGUGGAGGGCACCCUGCAUGCCCUAGAGGGUAGGGGCUGGGUGAGCGUGGGGCUCGGCCUGGGGGGCAGGCACUGUAGGGGACCGAGGGACCCCAGCCCCGGCUCCACCCCGACUCCCACACACAGGCAGCCCCAGGGCUCCCCCCAUGGGCAGCCGGCUCCUCAGGAGCUUCCCCCAGGGCGGCCCCGAGGUCUGGCUCCCCCUAGAGAGGCAUCGGGGAGAAGAGAAUCAGCCGGCGCUCAGCGGGGACCUACUGCCACCCGCGGGAAUGUGGCUGAGCCGGACCUUCCAGCUCAGCUGACCCUCCGGCACGAGGGAGCCCGGGUCGGCCAGGAGAACCCAGCUAGCCACCCAGCACCAGCACCAGAAAUGAUGGUGUUUCAACCAUUUCGGCGUCAGGACGACGCGGCCCGAGGAUCAGAUCGCGGCACAGCGACACACACACACACACCCCUAACCCAACCAACGUCGGAAUCCCCCAAUUGUUGUCAGACAGCAGCCAGACGGUUACAGACACGACGCUGGGGUCCCCGGUAGGACACACGGAGGAUGCUCCAGACCACGGCUGCAGAGGCGCUGGAGGCCCAGGGAUGUGCCUGCGGGUGCCGACGGGGAGCGCAGGGCGGCAGGGAAGCACCCUACAGAGGGGGGCCCCUCCUGGGAAAGGACGCCGGGUCCCCGCAAAGGCUCCGGAUGCUGAUAUCUGUCCUCCUCUCCUUCAGCUUCUGGUUUUCUCCCUAUUUUGUUCUUCCUGAUUCUCCUUCGGCCUCCACCCUGCAUCCGAGCCACUGACCACACAGGCUUCUUUACGAUGUCGGGUCCCAAAAGGAGGCCGAGCUCUGGCUCCCGGGAUCGGGAAGGAUCAUCGCCGAGGUUUAUGCUGAUCCCCCGAGCUCGUGCCUUCCCGGCUCUUCUCUCCUGCAGAACCAGGGGAGGCACGGGCCUUACUGAGAAGGAAGCCCACUCCCACUCGGGCGGAACCGUCCCUCGUGGAGGACGUCAUCUGGGCCAAGGAGUGCAAGCGGGGCGAUCAAGAACAGGUCCCAGGUUAGACAUAGUCUGCUUUGAGGUUUGUCCUGAAGCGAGCACUCACCUUCGAUGUCAUGCUUUAUUAGUUCAUCCAUUUAUUAUUUGUUAAGAUUUUAUUUUUAUGUCCUCUCUACACCCAACAUGGGAGUUCAAACUCACAGUCCUGAGAUCAAGGUCCCCCGACCAGGCCGGCCAGGCACCCCAGGGCCAUGUUUCUCAUCUCUUUCUUGGCUCGCCUUUCUCUGCACCCAACUGGGACAUCGAGUCCAUGACAGAGGAGCUUAAGCUACCUGCGAACCUAGAACGUUCUCUCUGUAUCCCCAUCCUAGAACGACCUUCGCCAUUGAAUAGCAAUUUAAAUAAAACGGCAGUCAAAUGACUCCUGGUAAAGGAAAUGGCCAACUUGUCAC